CCUACGGGGGGCAUCAGUGGGGAAUAUUGGGCAAUGGGGGAAACCCUGACCCAGCAACGCCGCGUGAAGGAAGAAGGUUUUCGGAUCGUAAACUUCUAUCCCCGGUGAAGAUAAUGACGGUACCCGGGAAGGAAGCCCCGGCUAACUACGUGCCAGCAGCCGCGGUCAUACGUAGGGGGAAAGCGUUGGCCGGAAUGAUUGGGCGUAAAGGGCGCGUAGGCGGCUCGGUAAGUCUGGAGUGAAAUUCCUGUGUUUAAGGUAGGAGCUGCUUUGGAUACUGUCGGGCUUGAGUGCAGGAGAGGUAAGCGGAAUGCCCGGUGUAGCGGUGAAAUGCGUAGAGAUCGGGAGGAACACCAGUGGCGAAGGCGGCUUACUGGACUGUAACUGACACUGAGGCGCGAAAGUGUGGGGAGCAAACA
rnacentral:rRNA from 1 species